rnacentral:lncRNA from 1 species
CCUGUUUUGUUUGUUCCUUUUGUAGGUUUACUUAGUUUCCACUCAGUCAUGUUCACACACAGAUUCAUGCAUCCAUGCACUUUACAUACACCCUACAUUAUGACAUUUCCACACCUCAUUCCUUUUUCUUUGUUUAAAGUUAAUAGUUUUUGGUUUACAAUAAAGAACCUUUUGAUUGGCCUAUACCUGUUGUUCAUGUCCCCUCAUUUUUGCCACAGGCUAUGAGCCGGCCUGUGACAAGUGGGGGCUCAUCCGUGGCAGUGAACGUGGGUAGAGCUUCCCUUUUCCCCUACAUCGGCUCGGGAGCACCUCUGUGGUUAUAGGGGGGGCCGCCAGUUCUGCUUGUCUUUUCCACUCCACUGGUUUUGUGUGCAUAAAACCCCACCACAUGUGACUGCACGAAGACCAGGGCCAGUUACUUAGUUGUUUUUGGAGGAUAUUGGGGUGUGGCUCCUGUUCUUGAACCCAGACUGACAGCAGGUCACAGUUGUGAAUGAGAACUUGUUCUCAACUGGCUUACAUGGUUGAAUAAAGAAUACUUCAAAAUGAGAAGAUCCUGCCAUGGAAAAGACGACUAGGUGGACAUAAAGUGGAAAGGAGGGGAAAUAACUCGCACUAUGCAGCAGGACACCUUCAGCUGUGGGGUCUUUGUAAUGCAGAUGGCCAAGGAAGUUGCAUAGAACUUCCCCAACAUCCCCUCUCAAAUUGAUAUGGAACCUUCAAAAACACAUGGAGCAACUGCGAAAAGAAAUGGCUGAGAAUUUACUAAAAAUGUCUGAGUUCAACAAAGCCAACAACUGCGUCAUGUGUGCCACUGAUAAAGAACCUGGAUGUGGCCCAAAGACUGACUGGUGUGCUGUGCCUAGGAAUGAAGACAAGAGUUCAACAGAGUAAAGAACACAAACUGGAAGUGCUGUCUUUGUUGUUGAAAAUGUAUGCUAUACCCCAGCCACACUGAAGAGGCUCUGAAAUGUACAUCAACCAGGGAUAAAGAGAAAGUUAACACUGUGAAAUGUUUCUUACUUAAUUGAAGUUAUGUCUCUGACAUGUUGAAAAAGAUUAAAG